rnacentral:rRNA from 1 species
UACAGAGGGUGCAAGCGUUGUUCGGAAUUAUUGGGCGUAAAGGGCGCGUAGGCGGUUCGGCAAGUCUCUAGUGAAAUCUAUGGGCUCAACUCAUAGUCUGCAUCGGAAACUGCCGGGCUUGAGUAUGGGGAGAGGUGAGUGGAAUUCCUGGUGUAGCGGUGAAAUGCGUAGAUAUCAGGAGGAACACCUGUGGCGAAAAGCGGCUACCCUGGACCAGCACUGACACUGAGGCACGAAAAGCGUGGGGGGAGCAAAACAGGAU